AAUGUUGUGUUUCCCCUUUUCAGGAUUCACAGAGCAGGCAAGGAGGGUACAGUAUGCAUCAGCUUCAGGGGAAUAAGGAGUAUGGCAGUGAGAAGAAAGGCUAUCUUCUAAAGAAGAGUGAUGGGUUAAGGAAAGUAUGGCAAAGAAGAAAGUGCACUGUUAAAAAUGGAAUUCUUACCAUCUCACAUGCAACGUCCAACAGGCAACCAGCUAAACUGAAUUUAUUGACCUGCCAGGUGAAGCCAAACGCCGAAGAUA